ACUCACACGUGUCUCUGUCAUGGCUGUGAUGCACGGUAAUUUAAACCAGCUAGUUCACAUGUUAAAAUGAGCUUAAAAAACGAAUUUCUGUGGAGAGUUUCCUUAAAAAGGGAAAAGGGCCCAAUGAUGAAACAACAGAAAAACAGACUGUCUAGAAAAACAAAGCUGCAUUUAGCGGGAAAUAGCAGGAGUCCUACUUAAAAUACGGCUUUAUCCCGACAGGUGAUUCACACGCUCCAGGUCUCCUCUGCACAAUAUGUGGCAACAGGCUAUCAAAUGAGGCAACGAAGCCUUCAACACUGCUUCGACACAUAGAGACAAAGCACUCUGCAUUAAAAGACAAGCCUGAACCCAAGUUCUUGAAGAUAGAAACGUGGACAGGAAAGACAGAAGCAAGUGUUGAGGGCCACAGCAACAAGUGGAGCUGUACUGAGAACACCGUACUCCGUUGAUAACCGUGUUGCUACGGUUAAGAAGCCUUUGACUGUUGGUGAAGAGCUGCUGCUGCUGCUGCUGCGUUAUGCUGUGUCAGUUAUGACAUGGAGCAUUUAUGGAGUCCAGUGAAGUAGCAUGCAAUUAAGCUGUCAGCCAUCACAGGGCUUCCUCUAAUGGACCACACAUGAAUGUUAGUCUAACCCGGUAGUGUCAUCUCUUCCCCCGUUCCAAAGUGGAGAACUGCAAAUGGAGUGUGUGAUGAAAUCUGAUGAAAUCAGAGGGAUGGCCACUGGAUUCCUUGCUUGGCUCCCAUUGUUCACCACAUCCAGCUCUGUGCCCGUCUUUUGGACCACCAUCAAGCUCUGCUCAGGCUAAUGUAGCCCCGUUCUCCACUGUUUACCCCUGCAAUGGCUUUCCCCUUUUGGGGUCUGGUUUUGAAUUGAACCCUACACUUCAUGAGUAAUCAGUAAAAUGUAGUUAUUUCAAAAAGCAACAGGUAACCAGUGAAGAGAAGCCAGGAUCAGUGGAAUGGGAUCAUGUUUCCUUCCUUCCUUCUUUUUUGCUGAUAGCAGAGAGCAGUGAGACCAGUGAACUGGAGAGUGAAGCGUGAAUAACAGUUUCCAGGUGUAACACACUGUUGAACCAUUAAUUUCUUAUAUGUUUUUCUAAGCUGAGGCUACAGUCAAAAAUGAGAUUCCCACAAUGCAGUGUUGGAGAUAUGGACCAAUAAUUAGCAGCUCUGUUUUAUCAGAAUUAAGCAGAAAGUUUCUUUAAUGGCCAUUACACUUAAUUGAAGUAAACAGGAAAAUACUUAAAAAGGAACUGUUGUGUUGGGGAGUACUGAGAGAAGAACUUGUAUAAUGUCUUCUGUGGCUUCAGAGGUAGAUUUGCUAAAUGUGAUCAGUCGCCCCAAGUGACAUGCUUGAGUCAGUGUCGGCUAGAGCUGAAGUUUGAAAAAGGUGAAAUUACGGGACCUCUGUCUUUGCUGGACUGACAGGUGUCUCAGCCUGUCCCUGAUAAAAGGAAAAGCACCCAAAUUAAAGUUCAAAAACAUCCCUUCAGCAGCCAGUUGUAGACAUGACAGGUGCCACUUGCUGAAUCACACUUUAAUCAUGAAAUACAGUUUGUUUCAAUUUGGACUGAGAUACAGUUCAGAGGCUCUUGGUUCAGCAGCAUCCAUUAGUCAUCUCACGUCUUGGAAAUAAAGCACUGAAAAUGGAUGUUUAAUGUAGAAUUAAAGGUGUGAGAGAUGUAAUUCACAGAGUCCAUUUUACUGCUAUUAAUUAUCUGCUGGAUUAUUGCCAGAAGCAGUCAUAAAUUCAAAUGUACUUGCUAGUGGUUGGAGCCUUAUGCUGGGUUAAAGAACAGCACUAAUUACAGCAGAGAGGCACACACCCACCGCCUUCACCCGCCGGAACAGUGAAUAAUUUAGAUGGCUGUGAUUUAAAUGUAGCCAAACAACCAUAAACUAACUGAAAGCCUAUUCGUGUGGCCAAGUUACAGUACAUGCUCUGUUUAUUUAUCCUAAUUGUCUCACUUAACUGCUUUUUUCACCUUAUAGAUCUAGUGCACUGUUGAAAUAAAAAUGCCUUUUUUUUCAUAUAGAUCACAUUAAGCAUUAAGGUUUAACUGAGAAUUGGAUUUUGAAACUGCAGACACAGAUGUCAUGUAUGUAAGACUGUAUGAUGCAUGUGUAUUCCCCACUAGGUGCUGAUGUUAUUAUUACAUACAGCUUACAGUCCAAACAGAAUGAGAUGCAAACAGUGAUCAAACAAAUGCUGAAUCACUGUGGCCCUUGGACCAACAAGACAACUCUGCUUCCAUCCACAAACAAAACAUAUUCAUGCCCGCAGCUCUUGAUUCCAAUACAAUGGAAACACAGGAGUCACAAAUUCAAUCAGUACAUGAGUAAUGCAAAUGAAAAGAGAUGAUGAAUACACAUAAAUACCAGCAAAGAGUAAACAAUAAUCAUCAUCCUCUUCCCUCAGAGGAGAUUUAGCUUUUUCAUAAACAGACUAUCAAGUAGCCAGACUUGAAAGUGAGGCAGCUGUAUACAUGUGAGAGAGUGUGUGUGUGUGAGAGAGAGAGAGAGUGAGUGAGUGUAUGAUGGCGAGGGGGCGGUGGGGUUAUUGAUCUUUAGGCGCCAGGAAACCCUGUUCUCCCAUUUCCACUGUAAUGAAACAUAAUCGCUUUGAGAGUGGCAACUUUGCCUCACAGAAAGCAUUCAGAUAAUCUGGGCCUUUUCCACUUGGCACAGAGUCAGGCUUUCUGCGUGCGUCUGUCUGUGUGUGUGUGUGUGUGUGUGUGUGUGUGUAUGUAUGUAUGUACACAUGAAGAUAGGAAAGGGGAACAAAGGGAGAAAUACAAUGUGGAGGAAGCGAAAACUCUGAAAACUGAAGUUCUGUUGGUUCUAGUUGGCAAACAUUGUGGUUAGUUUAUCGCGAUCCUACAUCUGGCGAAGUAUCACUGAAAAUAUAUUGAAAAGCUAAUCGCUGUUUAUGUUAUUGUUUAAUAUCUUACUGUUUUUGAUUGAAAAUUAUGGAAAACGUGUCAAACUUAACACCAGGUUUAAAAGCAGUAUCUCGUAGUGCGUUGCACUGACCACACUCAGCUGUGUUUUGUUGGUUGUUUUCAUUUUCAAAAACUUUAAAGCCUCAGGUUUUAGAAAUCCCCCAGCCUGUGCACUGGAUCCUUGAAUACAUUGACACAGAGACAGAGAAAGAGAGACUUCUUUAAAAAACAUAUUAGCUUCAAGUAGCAUUUACUUUCCCUGUCAACUGCUGUCUGAGCAAACAGAAAAACAGGAAGAAGAAAGAGAAAAAGCCAGCUGGAGCCAGAAGAGUGACCAUAGCUGUCAGGUAGAGGCUGCGUGUCACUGAACACUUACACCCCAUUUAUGGAAAAGGACAGAGGAGUGAAAAAGCAAUCACUGGGCAAUUUAGCAGUCUUUUAGUCAUCUAUUGUUGCUGGUGGGGAGCACAGUGAGGGAUUCACAGCUCGGCUCUUAUCUGAUGUGAUAUAUACACAACUAUUCCUCUGCUUUCACUGCCUUUUAGUCCUUAUUAGAGGAGAGGGAGUUGGUCUUUCUGUUUCCUGGUAAUGAAAAAUGAAUUCAGAGACAUCAUUUAGAAGCAGGGUCUCAUUUACCGAUAAGGCUGUGUUCUGAUCAGAGGCUUUAUUUCCUGCUUGAGCACAAAGCAAAACUGGCGUCAUUAGAUACUGAGAACAGGAGCCCAAAGGCUGCAAAGAGCUUUACAUCACUGUUGUUGCUAUGCAACACAAAUUUCCACAACAAGUUGCAAGCUACAUUUAAUUAGUGUUUUGCCAGCUAACUGGUGAAAAAGCAGAUACUGUUGAGAAAUAAAAACAGAGAAGAUGAAGACAGAGAUUGUACUUUUGAAGUGUGACUUGUGUGAUUUACUGAGGUAUAUACAUAUUGACACAAGUUUAUCCUGUUACAAUGGAGCUGAAUGGAAUUCCAUUGUGCUCAAACCACCCAAGCCUUAUUUAAAAACAAACAAAGAAAAACAGACAGCUACAUCUGUUUCACAAAACUACAACCCAGUUACUCAUGAUGAUCAACAGCAACCUGUUUCUUCCACUUAUUGGAAGAUUGGCAGUUAGCAGGCACAUUUGGUAGAAUCAAACUGCUCAUGAGGUUUGUGGAUCAUGCAUGCAGGAAAUGCUAUUGGACAGUUUCAAGUUUAUCACAACUUGGCUCUUAUGUUUGUAGCUGUGACUGCUCACACCUCGGAGCAAAGCGACAUCUUCACAAAAGGCUGAUGGAACACAGACUAACUAUCUAUCUAAAGUUCAUCCAUAGAGCAGUGUCUUAAAAAUAACAUAAAGACAGUAUACCUUACUGCAAAUGAAUGAGUGAAAAAAUCUGCCCUCUGGUGAGAGCAGAUAUGUCAUUCAUAUUAUCAUGUGGGAAUUUCCUGUUGCUGAAUUUGAAUCUCAGACCUCAGAGAAAGUCAGUUCUGUGUCGCCAAUGGCCUUUCCACACAGCAGCAAUGUCUCCAACAAUAUCAGCGUGAAAUUCAUCAUAGGGGAAUUUCAUUUGAAUUUACAGCUUGAUGAGGACAUGACAGAUAAUUGUACUUUGCAGUAACUAGUGACAGAGGUGUGAUGGACUCACGGUCUCCAGCAGGUCAUUGCUAGUUCUCAUUUAAAUGUGUUACACCUAAUCUAACUAAAGUGUAGUUUUCUUAAUGAAUCCUGACAGCUAUAUCAUAAUGACCCCUAUCAUGUUAUAUACUGUGAUAUCCAAGUUAAACACUUCUAAUCUCCAUCCUGGUCCUUCAGCACUUACAGAUCUAUACAUAUCUAUCAGCUCUAUCCACUUUGCUGUGUCAACAUGGGCUUAUAAUGCAGCUGAUAAUCAAGUGCUCUUAGGCCUGUUGUUGCAAAACAGUAACCAGCAACCAAUCUGUCUGUUUAUAAACCCUCAUCCCUGCUGUUAGUUUCCCUCAGCAGCAGCAUUUUGCCCGUCAUCCAUAACAUUCGAUCACAGUUAAAGGGACGCUCCAUCACGUUUUGUUUCAUAACUGGCAUUUUGCAUGACUAAUGAUGCUCCACAGCUCUUUGGUCCCCAGCUGACAAGCUAGAGUUCAAAAAGUUAUGAAAUCAAAAUGAUCAAAAUGUUUUUAUUCGACCCUUUAGGUAGAUGGCUGGUAGUAUCUUUUCUAUAUAUUAUUUCAAAAUUAGAAUUUUUUGCCUUAAUCUGAGAUUUUCAGUAUAAAAUAUUUUCACUUCACAAGAAAUUUAUUUUUCUUUUUAUAACCUUUGACUUAUUUUAUUAGAUUUGGACAUAAUUGUCAUUAGAUAUAAGUGUAAUAAUGGAAUGUAUUCACUCUGUGCCACUCUAAAUAAAAGUUACUUCACAGCUCCAACAAGUAGAAGAGCAUGUAUUCCUCUAGAACAGCGAUCCCCAACCACCGGGCAGCUGAUCAUUUGGUGACAGAAAAAACGUGGACAGGAAGGACAGAAGCAAGUGUUGAGGGCCACAGCAACAAGUGGAGCUGUACUGAGAACACCGUACUCCGUUGCUAACCGUGUUGCUACGGUUAAGAAGCCUUUGACUGUUGGUGAAGAGCUGCUUCUGCUGCUGCUGCGUUAUGAUUAUACCUCUGCUACACAUGGGCAAGAUUUCACAACACCAACUUCUUUUACUGCUCAGUCCAGAGUGCCAGAAUGUGAUGCCGUCAUCUCAUCAUACCAAAGCACCUGAAAUGUGAGAUGACACCAGGCAGUGAGACGUUCAUCCAUGACGCAACUCAGUGAUUGUGGACAAACCUCAAAGAGAACUGAAGAACUGCAGUGUCU